rnacentral:rRNA from 1 species
GAUAUCCGAACCCGGGCGUUGGUUGACCCGGGCGCAAGGGACCGAACAUCAGUAGGGAAGUCGGAGAUGCUCUGUGGCGAGAAAAGCUGUGUGAAUUGAUUAGGCGCCCGUACCGCAAACCGACACAGGUAGAUGAGGAGAGAAUCCUAAGGCCAACGGGAGAAGGGUUGUUAAGGAACUCGGCAAAUUGACCCCGUAACUUCGGGAUAAGGGGAGCCUCCUACGGGAGGCCGCAGUGAAUAGGCCCAAGCAACUGUUUACCAAAAACACAGGUCUCUGCUAAAUCGAAAGAUGACGUAUAGGGGCUGACGCCUGCCCGGUGCCGGAAGGUUAAGAGGAGAGCUUAGCGCAAGCGAAGGUUCGAAUUGAAGCCCCGGUAAACGGCGGCCGUAACGACAACGGUCCUAAGGUAGCGAAAUUCCUUGUCAGGUAAGUUCUGACCCGCACGAAUGGCGUAAUGAUUUGGGCACUGUCUCAACAGCCCGCCCGGCGAAAUUGUAGUACUGGUGAAGAUGCCAGUUACCCGCGACUAGACGGAAAGACCCCAUGGAGCUUUACUGUAGCCUAAUACUGAAGAUCGGUAAUGCAUGUACAGGAUAGGUGGGAGCCAGCGAAACCCGGGCGUCAGCUCGGAUGGAGGCAACCUUGGAAUACCACCCUUGUAUUGCUGGUUUUCUAACCUGCGGCCAUGAAUCUGGUCGGGGGACACUGUUAGGUGGGCAGUUUGACUGGGGCGGUCGCCUCCAAAAGCGUAACGGAGGCGCUCAAAGGUUGGCUCAGCACGGACGGAAAUCGUGCAUAGAGUGCAAACGCAUAAGCCAACUUGACUGCGAGACCGACGGGUCGAGCAGGUACGAAAGUAGGAGUUAGUGAUCCGGUGGUAUGUGAGUGGAAAUGCCAUCGCUCAACGGAUAAAAGCUACCCUGGGGAUAACAGGCUGAUCUCCCCCAAGCGUCCACAGCGACGGGGAGGUUUGGCACCUCGAUGUCGGCUCGUCACAUCCUGGGGCUGUAUUCGGUCCCAAGGGUUCGGCUGUUCGCCGAUUAAAGUGGCACGCGAGCUGGGUUCAGAACGUCGUGAGACAGUUCGGUCCCUAUCUGUUGCGGGCGCAGGAGAUUUGAAGGGAGCUGUCCUUAGUACGAGAGGACCGGGAUGGACAGACCUCUGGUGCACCAGUUGUCGUGCCAACGGCACAGCUGGGUAGCUACGUCUGGACGAGAUAAACGCUGAAAGCAUCUAAGUGUGAAACUCCCCCUAAGAUAAGAUCUCCCAUCCAUUAGGAGUAAGGGACGACAAAGACUAUGUCGUUGAUAGGUCGGAAGUGUAAGUGCAGUAAUGCAUUGAGCUGACCGGUACUAAUAACCCGAGGGCUUGACCU